GGCUCAGAUUGAACGCUGGCGGCAGGCCUAACACAUGCAAGUCGAGCGGUAGAGAGGUGCUUGCAUCUCUUGAGGGCGGCGGACGGGUGAGUAAUGCCUAGGAAUCUGCCUAGUGGUGGGGGAUAACGUUCGGAAACGGACGCUAAUACCGCAUACGUCCUACGGGAGAAAGCGGGGGAUCUUCGGACCUCGCGCCAUUAGAUGAGCCUAGGUCGGAUUAGCUAGUUGGUGAGGUAAUGGCUCACCAAGGCGACGAUCCGUAACUGGUCUGAGAGGAUGAUCAGUCACACUGGAACUGAGACACGGUCCAGACUCCUACGGGAGGCAGCAGUGGGGAAUAUUGGACAAUGGGCGAAAGCCUGAUCCAGCCAUGCCGCGUGUGUGAAGAAGGUCUUCGGAUUGUAAAGCACUUUAAGUUGGGAGGAAGGGUAGUAACCUAAUACGUUGCUACUUUGACGUUACCGACAGAAUAAGCACCGGCUAACUUCGUG
rnacentral:rRNA from 1 species